UUGAACGCUGGCGGCAUGCUUUACACAUGCAAGUCGAACGGCAGCACGGGGGCAACCCUGGUGGCGAGUGGCGAACGGGUGAGUAAUGCAUCGGAACGUACCCAGUCGUGGGGGAUAACGCAGCGAAAGUUGUGCUAAUACCGCAUACGACCCGAGGGUGAAAGCGGGGGACCGUAAGGCCUCGCGCGAUUGGAGCGGCCGAUGUCUGAUUAGCUAGUUGGUGGGGUAAAGGCCUACCAAGGCGACGAUCCGUAGCGGGUCUGAGAGGAUGAUCCGCCACACUGGGACUGAGACACGGCCCAGACUCCUACGGGAGGCAGCAGUGGGGAAUUUUGGACAAUGGGGGCAAGCCUGAUCCAGCCAUGCCGCGUGAGUGAAGAAGGCCUUCGGGUUGUAAAGCUCUUUCAGACGGAAAGAAAACGCAUCGGUGAAUACCCGGUGUGGAUGACGGUACCGUAAGAAGAAGCACCGGCUAACUACGU
rnacentral:rRNA from 1 species